CCUUGNUGGUAGGGGACAACAGGUUGGAAACGACUGCNUNUUANCCUAUGAGCCCUAUGGGGGAAAGAUUUAUCGCCAUGAGAUGUGCCCGCGUUAGAUUAGCUAGUUGGUAAGGUAAUGGCUUACCAAGGCGACGAUCUAUAGCUGGUCUGAGAGGAUGAUCAGCCACACUGGGACUGAGACACGGCCCAGACUCCUACGGGAGGCAGCAGUGGGGAAUAUUGGACAAUGGGGGCAACCCUGAUCCAGCCAUGCCGCGUGUGUGAUGACGGCCUUAGGGUUGUAAAGCACUUUCAGCAGUGAAGAUAAUGACAUUAACUGCAGAAGAAGCCCCGGCUAANUUCGUGCCAGCAGCCGCGGUAAUACGAAGGGGGCUAGCGUUGUUCGGAAUCACUGGGCGUAAAGAGUACGUAGGCGGACUGAUAAGUUAGGGGUGAAAUCCCAAGGCUCAACCUUGGAACUGCCUUUGAUACUGUCAGUCUUGAGAUCGAGAGAGGUGAGUGGAACUCCGAGUGUAGAGGUGAAAUUCGUAGAUAUUCGGAAGAACACCAGUGGCGAAGGCGGCUCACUGGCUCGAUACUGACGCUGAGGUACGAAAGCGUGNGNAGCAAACAGGAUUAGAUACCCUGGUAGUCCACGCCGUANACGAUGAAUGCUAGUUGUCAGGUAGCUUGCUAUUUGGUGAC
rnacentral:rRNA from 1 species